CUGCAUGUUUUGUAUGUAUUGCGCAUUUGAAUCUAAUAUCUCCGUAGGCUAUAAAGGUGGAUUUACACUACUGUGAUGCACUACACAACUUUUGCCUAAAACUGUCACAUGCAACCUGCUCAUGACUUAAGUUGUACUGUGUAAAUCAAGCACACAGCUAGGCGACGUUGUUCUAGGCGACGUUGUUCUAGGCGACGUUGUUCUAGGCGACGUUGUUCUAGGCGACGUUGUUCUAGGCGACGUUGUUCUAGGCGACGUUGUUCUAGGCGACGUUGUUCUAGGCGACGUUGUUCUGGGCGACGUUGUUCUAGGCGACGUUGUUGAAGGUGACUUGUCUGCUUGAUUUACACAGUACAAUUCAAGUUGUAAACAUGUUGCGCG